rnacentral:misc_RNA from 1 species
UGAUAAAUAAUCAACAUACAAUUUUUUUAAAAUAUGUCCUUUUUGUUCCUUAUAUUUUGGCAUUAUAAACGUUUAUAUACACAUACAGAGUUUUUCAUUUAAUGAAAUGUAAAAUGGUUUAUAUGCAGAUUAAUUCAAAACUCGAAAGUAAUUGAAGACCAUCUUCUAAAUAGAAAUUACAUGUAUAGCAAGUUUGUUAUGUUAUAUGAUUUACGUUAUUUUUUAAUUGUUUUAUAUGUUUUUGUUUCUGACCUACUUCUGAAUAAGUUUUAUGUAUGAACUAUGUUUCUUCAUACGGGUCUUUUUUAAUGAUUAUACUGCGUACAGAGUUAUUUUCGACCUGCUUUAUUUUCACGGCUGUUCAAGAUUUAUUCGCCUUAAGUAAAACAUUUUCAUAUAGAAUCGGGUAACUUCUCGGGCAUUUCUAGAGCACUGCCAGAAAGGUCCGAGAAGUUGCGAUUGGGGAGUGUAGUUCUCAGCUCUAUUUUAAAUUCGGCCACCAUCAAAAAGCACUUCUCGGGCGAAAAUUUCCCUGUAUAAAGUAUGUAUCGAUGUAAAUGAAUGUGUAAAUAAAACUCAGUUGUUGC